GUGUCGUGAGAUGUUGGGUUAAGUCCCGCAACGAGCGCAACCCUCGCCUUUAGUUACCAUCAUUUAGUUGGGGACUCUAAAGGAACCGCCGGUGAUAAGCCGGAGGAAGGUGGGGAUGACGUCAAGUCCUCAUGGCCCUUACGCGCUGGGCUACACACGUGCUACAAUGGCGGUGACAGUGGGCAGCAAACUCGCGAGAGUGCGCUAAUCUCCAAAAGCCGUCUCAGUUCGGAUUGUUCUCUGCAACUCGAGAGCAUGAAGGCGGAAUCGCUAGUAAUCGCGGAUCAGCAUGCCGCGGUGAAUACGUUCCCAGGCCUUGUACACACC
rnacentral:rRNA from 1 species